GUCGGGAAUUUUGGGCAAUGGGCGAAAGCCUGACCCAGCAACGCCGCGUGAGGGAUGAAGUAUUUCGGUAUGUAAACCUCGAAAGAAUGGGAAGAAUAAAUGACGGUACCAUUUAUAAGCUCCGGCUAACUACGUGCCAGCAGCCGCGGUAAUACGUAGGGAGCAAGCGUUGUUCGGAUUUACUGGGCGUAAAGGGCGCGUAGGCGGCGCGGUAAGUCACUUGUGAAAUCUCUGAGCUUAACUCAGAACGGCCAAGUGAUACUGCUGUGCUAGAGUGCGGAAGAGGCAACCGGAAUUCUUGGUGUAGCGGUGAAAUGCGUAGAUAUCAAGAGGAACACCUGAGGCGAAGGCGGGUUGCUGGGCCGACACUGACGCUGAUGCGCGAAAGCCAGGGGAGCAAAC
rnacentral:rRNA from 1 species